ACAUUGGGCCUAAAAUGCCCUAAAUCAAUGUGACUGAUGAUUCUGUACUGUUUGUGGAUUUACCAACACCUUUUUCACGGGAAAGGAAUACGACAGAGAGGCCUAUGAUAUCAACUCAGAAGUAGCUCUUGCCAACUUGAUGGUACAUUCUGGUAUGGGACCAUCCCAUGUAGUAAAUUUUCUCAGCACCUUUAACACUGCACCUAUGGUGUCACACCACAUUGAACAUACGUUGAAGAAAAAGAGAUGUCAGCCUCUAUUGUGCAACCAGGCCAAGCAAUCUUGUUGGAUAUCUAGAGACGAAGAAUGCUAAACCGGACCAGUUGGAAUGUAGUUUUGAUGCUGGAUAGCAGACCAAGGGGUCUUGCUGUUAGUAUAAUAGUGAUACUGAUAAUUUUAACAAGUAAGGUGUAUAAGAUAUAUGAAUGUGAGGUCCAGACCAUUCAUGCUGAUAAUGAUUCAACUACUGCAGCUCGACUAAAGAAUGACUUUCCAUCUCUUCCAAAAAAAGCAGGACAAGG